AGCGAACGCUGGCGGCAGGCCUAACACAUGCAAGUCGAACGAACCUUUCGGGGUUAGUGGCGGACGGGUGAGUAACACGUGGGAACGUGCCUUUAGGUUCGGAAUAACUCAGGGAAACUUGUGCUAAUACCGAAUGUGCCCUUCGGGGGAAAGAUUUAUCGCCUUUAGAGCGGCCCGCGUCUGAAUAGCUAGUUGGUUGAGGUAAUGGCUCACCAAGGCGACGAUCAGUAGCUGGUCUGAGAGGAUGAUCAGCCACAUUGGGACUGAGACACGGCCCAAACUCCUACGGGAGGCAGCAGUGGGGAAUCUUGCGCAAUGGGCGAAAGCCUGACGCAGCCAUGCCGCGUGAAUGAUGAAGGUCUUAGGAUUGUAAAAUUCUUUCACCGGGGACGAUAAUGACGGUACCCGGAGAAGAAGCCCCGGCUAACUUCGUG
rnacentral:rRNA from 1 species